CGGCCCCCAUGAUGGCAGCACUGGGCUCUGAACCCCCUGACAGACGCCUGUGCCCCCAGGGACUUUUGACACCCCGGGAGUCUGAGAGGCCC